rnacentral:rRNA from 1 species
CAGGGAUUGCCCUAGUAACGGCGAGUGAAGCGGCAACAGCUCAAAUUUGAAAUCWGGCUUUCGGGCCCGAGUUGUAAUUUGUAGAGGAUACUUUUGAUGCGGUGCCUUCCGAGUUCCCUGGAACGGGACGCCAUAGAGGGUGAGAGCCCCGUCUGGUUGGAUGCCAAAUCUCUGUAAAGUUCCUUCGACGAGUCGAGUAGUUUGGGAAUGCUGCUCUAAAUGGGAGGUAUAUGUCUUCUAAAGCUAAAUAUUGGCCAGAGACCGAUAGCGCACAAGUAGAGUGAUCGAAAGAUGAAAAGCACUUUGAAAAGAGAGUUAAAAAGUACGUGAAAUUGUUGAAAGGGAAGCGUUUAUGACCAGACUUGGACUUGGUUAAUCAUCUGGGGUUCUCCCCAGUGCACUUUUCCAGUUCAGGCCAGCAUCAGUUUUCGCCGGGGGAUAAAGGCUUCGGGAAUGUAGCUCUCUUCGGGGAGUGUUAUAGCCCGUUGUGUAAUACCCUGGUGGAGACUGAGGUUCGCGCUUCUGCAAGGAUGCUGGCGUAAUGGUCAUCAACGACCCGUCUUGAAACACGGACCAAGGAGUCGUCUUCGUAUGCGAGUGUUCGGGUGUCAAACCCCUACGCGUAAUGAAAGUGAACGCAGGUGAGAGCUUCGGCGCAUCAUCGACCGAUCCUGAUGUUCUCGGAUGGAUUUGAGUAAGAGCAUACGGGGCCGGACCCGAAAGAAGGUGAACUAUGCCUGUAUAGGGUGAAGCCAGAGGAAACUCUGGUGGAGGCUCGCAGCGGUUCUGACGUGCAAAUCGAUCGUCAAAUAUGGGCAUGGGGGCGAAAGACUAAU